CAGCUUUUUCCAGAGCUUUAAACCACAUCGUACAUCAGUGGAUGGAGUUUGCUCAGUAUUCAUGGAGAUGGCUCGGUUGUUAUCACGUGACCCAAGAAUGGAGCUUCGAUCGACUGUCUCUGGUAUCGGAUGUGAACGAUCUCCUUGAUCUGCAUCCUGGUUGGUGAUUUUGACGCCUCUCCUGGUUGAUGCUCUGACUGUUGUGGGUUGAAAAUACAACCACCUGUUAUCAUGUGACCAAACUUCCAUAUGUACAAUACCAGUUAAAAGUUUGGACACACCAUCCAAACUUUUGACUGGUACUGUAUGUCACAUUAUGACAACUGAGCAAUGUACAUUUGCUGACAAUGCCUAUGAGAUCCAAUUGAAAUAUUGUGGAAAUAGCUCCUAAUUAGACCUUAAAUAUGGAUUAUUAGAUACAGAUUGUUUUGCAAGGCAAUGACACAUAACUUAUUUUGCUGUGUGGGUAGAAGGACUUAUUGUCUGGACUUCAGAAGGGACGGUUUUGCUGCCCCCCUGUGGAUGAGAUAAGAUAAAAUAACACUUAACUGAUCCCCAGGGUGAAAUUCUAUUAGUAAACUUUCUUUGUCAUAUCUGAUUCAUGCUUUCAAUAAGCACCAAACUUAACACUUUUAUUUUUCUGCCUAAAAUGUAGAUUUCAGGUUCAGUUUGACCCCGAGCAAACAACGGAUUUGUGUGCAGCACUAAGGCAAGUCAUGUGACUGAAUGAGAACCAGCCAGCAGACAUUUUGGAGUCCCCGCGGUCCUGGAUACGAAUGAACUGACCGCAUUCUACCGUGACUCCACAUCAGUCAAAAAGAUAUACGCCACUUCCUCCACAUACACACACACACACACACACACACACACACAUGCACACGCACACAGAAAAAGCUUCCAUCCCCGCCUCCAUCAGUCAAGUCCUGUGGCCGAUGAACUUCCAUCGUCUCCAAGGUUGAUAACAAGCCUCUUAAGCUUGGCGGCUAAUCAAGCUCAAAGGAGGGAGCGAAGGAGAGAUAGUGGAGGAGAACAAGAGGGGGAGACGGAGGGAGGCCUAAUAGCCAGCGAGGGGGGCUGUGGACUCUCCAGAGUCUCUACAUACCAGUCAUUUACUUUAACUGGAAAGGAGAAAAAAGAAGAGAAAUGUCUUGAUAAAUCAUCCAGGGUCACACAGCUUCCAUGUUUCCCCCGAGUUACGGAGAUAGGGAGCAAAGAAAGAAAAAUGACAGAAGGAAAACCCAACAACGUCUGUCUCCUCUUUGAUGUGUGUCCCAUCAGACAAACAACACGAAGCUGAAAUAAACAGAAACAAGUGGCUGCUGUUGCGGUUUGCACUCCGA